rnacentral:rRNA from 1 species
CCUACGGGAGGCAGCAGUGGGGAAUCUUGGGCAAUGGGCGCAAGCCUGACCCAGCAACGCCGCGUGAAGGAAGAAGGCUUUCGGGUUGUAAACUUCUUUUCUGAGGGACGAAGAAAGUGACGGUACCUCAGGAAUAAGCCACGGCUCACUACGUACCAGCAGCCGCGGUAAUACGUAGGUGGCAAGCGUUAUCCGGAUUUAUUGGGUGUAAAGGGAGUGUAGGCGGGAAAGCAAGUCAGAUGUGAAAACUUAGGGCUCAACCCUGGACCUGCAUUUGAAACUGGUGUUCUUGAGUGCUGGAGAGGCAAGCGGAAUUCCGUGUGUAGCGGUGAAAUGCGUAGAUAUACGGAGGAACACCAGUGGCGAAGGCGGAUUGCUGGACAGUAACUGACGCUGAGGCGCGAAAGCGUGGGGAGCAAACAGGAUUAGAUACCCCGGUAGUC